AGUUGGCCUCUGACUCUGUUGCUUGGACCCACGCUCAGAGAGCUUGACCGCGAAGAACUGGUUCCCGGGCUCCGAGUGGCCAAGAUUUCAGAGAUUCGUUGCAAGGUUGGCGCACCCAGGAGGACCGUUGAGGACGAACAAGGCAGCGGCAUUGGCGAAGUUUCUAGAAACAAAGCUACCCCGAUUUCUCUCGCAUCUCCAACUCCAGCGAUUUCGACAGCGCCUUCACUUGCAUUGUCAUCACCCACUUCCAUUUGGAUCACAUUGGUGCACUUCCUUACUUCACGGAAGUAUGUGGGUGCAGCGGGCCAAUAUACAUGACGGCUGAUUUGGUUGCUUAGUGGAUUGCUAAAAAUUGUUUUCAAGAUUGCCGUGUUUGUUUUUUCUCGACAUCGUUUCCCCGAAUCCUAAUGUUGAGAAAGCAGUAGUGCCAAAGGAAGAGAUCUUAGAUUUUGAGUUGUCACCUGAGCCCUCGAACACAAGGCAAUUUGAGAACUGAUCAGUACCAUCAAAGCUCCAAUAUGUGCAUUGCAGAUUAGAAGUCCGGAACCUUGUUGGAGAAUCUAAAACAGGUAAAGUUUAAAGAAAAUUUCAUUGUCAAUUUAAGCAUGUAUACUUUGUUAUGUGGCCAGGAAAAUUUUUACAGCUAUAAGCUUCUAUUGACCAAGACCAAGUGAUUGGUCUAAUUAAUGGUUCUCUGCUUCAUGUAAUCCAUAAAGUUCCGGGCUCAAAUCUUCUAAUCAAUACCUUGGACCAUUCUUUCUUGUA